UGAUUCUUUAAAUACAUCUUUUUUCUCUCUCAAACGUACAAUCAGAUAGCUUCCGAGCUUAUUUUCGAGGUUGAUUUUUCAUGCUCUCCUUAAUAAGGAAGUUGCCGCCACGAAAAUGCAAAGGGCUGCCGUCGGUGGUUGUACAUCACCUGCGUAUGAACUGUUCUUUCCACGAAUAAUUGAUUAAUCUGUAAGAUCCCAUUUCGAUUAGAGAGGAGAACAAAUCAUUUUUAUAAGAGUGUGAAAACUCCC